rnacentral:rRNA from 1 species
AAAGGAAUAGACGGGGGCCCGCACAAGCAGCGGAGCAUGUGGUUUAAUUCGACGCGACGCGAAGAACCUUACCAGGUUUUGACAUCCCUUGGAGUUUUUGGAAACAGGAAUGACCUUCGGGGCAAGGAGACAGGUGGUGCAUGGUUGUCGUCAGCUCGUGUCGUGAGAUGUUGGGUUAAGUCCCGCAACGAGCGCAACCCUUAUGUUUAGUUACUAACGGGUAAGGCCGAGGACUCUAGACAGACUGCCGUGGAGAACACGGAGGAAGGUGGGGACGACGUCAAAUCAUCAUGCCCCUUAUGACCUGGGCUACACACGUGCUACAAUGGCCGCGACAAAGAGGAGCGAAGGCGUGAGUCGGAGCGGAUCUCAAAAAGGCGGUCUCAGUUCGGAUUGUGGGCUGCAACCCGCCCACAUGAAGUCGGAGUUGCUAGUAAUCGCGGAUCAGCAUGCCGCGGUGAAUACGUUCCCGGGCCUUGUACACACCGCCCGU